rfam:Solanum tuberosum cultivar DM 1-3 516 R44 scf00103_31, whole genome shotgun sequence.
AGCAAAAUGAUGAAAAUAUUUAAGCUGAAUUAUAUGUUGAAAUUCAUAUAUUAGCCUUCAAAGUUCUCUGAUUGCA